UGAAACCGUUUAGGGGUAAACCUGAGAAACCCGAAAGGUCGAAGGGAGAAAUUCAUUCGCGGUUCGACGUAGGCGUCGGACGGGGUCUCGUGCGACGGAACGCGUUCCGCAAGGUACGCGUGACGCGCCCCCCGUCCGUCGAACCGGCGACGAACGCGUGCACUUUUCUUCUGGUAGGACGUCGCGAUCCGUCGGGCGUCGGUCUACGACUUGCGGUGGAGCCCGUCCGUCGUGCUAACGCACGCGUACGGACGGACCCGCUCGUUCCGACCGACUCGCUCGACGGUAUCAUUGUAAGGUCGGAGGCCGCUCGUCAUUUUUAAGGAGCGUCCGACUCGUCGCAAGCGCGCCACGUGCGUCGGCACGCGGACCCGGUGCCGCGUCCGACCUCUGGUGACUGUUGGCGACGACGUUCUCGGACAGACCUCUUCUAUCUCCUCGCCGAGAUAGAGAAAGACCGAUCGGCGACGCUAUAGCUUUGGGUACUUUCAGGACCCGUCUUGAAACACGGACCAAGGAGUCUAGCAUGUACGCGAGUCAUUGGGACAUCGACUAAACCUAAAGGCGUAAUGAAAGUGAAGGUCUUCCUCGCGAAGACCGAGGGAAGACGGGCGGGGGCAACACCUCGUCCCGCAUUCCCGGGGCGUCUCGUUCACAUCGCGUGAAGAGGCGCACCAAGAGCGUACACGCUGGGACCCGAAAGAUGGUGAACUAUGCCUGGUCAGGACGAA
rnacentral:rRNA from 1 species